GAUGAAGAACGUAGCGAAAUGCGAUAAGUAAUGUGAAUUGCAGAAUUCAGUGAAUCAUCGAAUCUUUGAACGCACAUUGCGCCCGCCAGUAUUCUGGCGGGCAUGCCUGUUCGAGCGUCAUUUCAACCAUCAAGCCCCGGGCUUGUGUUGGGGACCUGCGGCUGCCGCAGGCCCUGAAAUGCAGUGGCGGGCUCGCUGUCACUCCGAGCGUAGUAGUUACAUCUCGCUCUGGGCGUGCUGCGGGUUCCGGCCGUUAAAAGCCUUAUUUACCCAAGGUUGACCUCGGAUCAGGUAGGAAGACCCGCUGAACUUAAGCAUAUCAAUAAGCGGAGGG
rnacentral:misc_RNA from 1 species